GAAGGAAGCACCACUGUCCACCCCCCUGCCAUUCCUAACAGCAGUAUGUCCCCGGGAAUGGUUAUUUCUAUCAAAGUGUUAAGCUUCUGGCUUUCCAACAGUCCAGUUCUAAUUUCAAGGUCCACUUAAUUCUGCAUCAAGUAAUUACUGAUAUACCCAGAAGCACCUUGUCUCCAGAGUUAAGCAUAUGGUGAAGAACUGAGACCUACUGGUAUCCAUUAUGGAAGCAGCACGGAUGCCAAGCCGAUUAAAAAUGCUCAGGCUCCCUAUACAACACGCCGGGUGCCGUUAAAUGAGACACUCAGAAAGUGAGCGGAGGGAAAGAAAUUGCUGUCAUUACUUUUCAAGAAAGGAGGUAUGCAAAUUUUCGACAGAAAGAUUGCGUUCAUAAUGGGACUGGUAAAAUACAAGGAUCAUGCUUGACAGCUGGAACCAGUGUGCCUGGAUUCAAAUCUUGACUGUACUGAAAAUAUUCUGUGGACCCCACAGGGGUGGGGCACCACAGCACCCAAGCUUUUCCCAAUGUGGUGGGGACCAGGUGAACUUGGUUUAUGCCCAUGAGAAGCAGGCAUCCAUCCAUCCAUCCAUCCAUCCAUCCAUCCAUCCAUCCA